AGACAACUUUCUGGCACUUACGUUGAUCAAACUUUACCCAGUGAAGAUCACCAUUAUCAAGGAUUUUCUACUACUAUUUGCAAAGAUGCAGUGAACACAAAUGCUUACGAAAAGAUUCAAGAGUGUUUUGAGAAAGAUAAAAG